UACGUAGGGGGCUAGCGUUGUCCGGAUUUAUUGGGCGUAAAGAGCGUGUAGGCGGUCAGGUAGGUCUGGUGUGAAAACUCGAGGCUUAACCUUGAGAUGUCAUCGGAAACCAUCUGGCUAGAGUCCGGAAGAGGAGAGUGGAAUUCCUGGUGUAGCGGUGAAAUGCGCAGAUAUCAGGAAGAACACCAAUGGCGAAAGCAGCUCUCUGGGACGGUACUGACGCUGAGACGCGAAAGCGUGGGGAGCGAACAGG
rnacentral:rRNA from 1 species